GAGUUUGAUCGUGGCUCAGGACGAACGCUGGCGGCGUGCCUAAAACAUGCAAGUCGAGCGGCAGCGCGGGGCAACCUGGCGGCGAGCGGCGAACGGGUGAGUAAUGCAUCGGAACAUGUCCAUUCGUGGGGGAUAGCCCGGCGAAAGCCGGAUUAAUACCGCAUACGCCCGAGAGGGGAAAGUGGGGGACCGCAAGGCCUCACGCGAUUGGGUUGGCCGAUGUCCGAUUAGCUAGUUGGUGGGGUAAAGGCCUACCAAGGCGAUGAUCGGUAGCUGGUCUGAGAGGAUGAUCAGCCACACUGGGACUGAGACACGGCCCAGACUCCUACGGGAGGCAGCAGUGGGGAAUUUUGGACAAUGGGGGCAACCCUGAUCCAGCCAUUCCGCGUGAGUGAAGAAGGCCUU
rnacentral:rRNA from 1 species